rnacentral:rRNA from 1 species
AUACGUAGGGGGCGAGCGUUGUCCGGAAUGACUGGGCGUAAAGGGCGUGUAGGCGGCGGUGUAAGUCUGGAGUGAAAGUCCCGCAUUCAAUGUGGGAAUUGCUUUGGAUACUGCAGUGCUAGAGUGCGGAAGGGGUAAGUGGAAUUCCCAGUGUAGCGGUGAAAUGCGUAGAGAUCAGGAGGAACACCGGUGGCGAAGGCGACUUUCUGGCUGACAACUGACGCUGAGGCGCGAAAGCGUGGGGAGCGAACAGGAUUAGAUACCCUGGUAGUCCACGCCGUAAACGAUGAAUGCUAGGUGUUGCGGGUAUCGACCCCUGCAGUGCCGGAGUAAACACAAUAAGCAUUCCGCCUGGGGAGUACGGCCGCAAGGUUGAAACUUAAAGGAAUUGGCGGGG